rnacentral:rRNA from 1 species
CCUACGGGUGGCAGCAGUGAGGAAUAUUGGGCAAUGGACGAGAGCCUGAACCAGCCAAGUAGCGUGAAGGAUGACUGCCCUAUGGGUUGUAAACUUCUUUUAUAUGGGAAUAAAACAGGGUAUGCAUACCCUCUUGUAUGUACCAUAUGAAUAAGGAUCGGCUAACUCCGUUCCAGCCGCCGCGGUAAUACGGAGGGUCCGAGCGUUAUCCGGAAUUAUUGGGUUUAAAGGGAGCGUAGGUGGGUUGUUAAGUCAGUUGUGAAAGUUUGCGGCGCAACCGUAAAAUUGCAGUUGAAACUGGCAGUCUUGAGUGCAGUAGAGGAGGGCGGAAUUCGUGGUGUAGCGGUGAAAUGCUUAGAUAUCACGAAGAACUCCGAUUGCGAAGGCAGCUCACUGGACUGCAACUGACACUGAUGCGCGAAAGUGUGGGUAUCAAACAGGAUUAGAUACCCGAGUAGUC